UCACUGGUAUUAACACAUUCGGUCACAGCCACAGCCUUGUGAAGAAGGUCCUAGUUUUCAGUUGUGCGUGUGCACACACAUCUAUACCGGGCACACACCAAAGAGGAACAGGCUACAGAGAGAGCCGGCUGCUUGGAGCGACAUGUGCUGAAGAUGUCCGAGUUGCAUUAAAUGAAAACACGAGCGACUGAACACCAGCAGAGGACCAGUGCACUCCUGCCUGGGCGGACUCCCAGUCAGGAAAUAAGGUCAGUGAAACAGCUGCAAUCGUGAAAAAGGGACCAACAGCCAGGAGAGAGAAACAAAGAAAAGGUUUGCUGCUAUCCUAGUGUGAUGGUGAGGAAGAAGCAACUCCGUGUAAGAUGUCGAGUGUGAGAUUUCCUUGCAAUGCUAUUUUUUUUUAAUGU